ACGGAGGGUCCAAGCGUUAUCCGGAUUUAUUGGGUUUAAAGGGUCCGUAGGCGGGUCUUUAAGUCAGUGGUGAAAGCCUACAGCUCAACUGUAGAAUUGCCAUUGAUACUGGAGACCUUGAGUUCAAUUGAAGUUAGCGGAAUGUGUCAUGUAGCGGUGAAAUGCAUAGAUAUGACACAGAACACCGAUUGCGAAGGCAGCUAACUAAGUUGAUACUGACGCUGAGGGACGAAAGCGUGGGGAGCGAACAGG
rnacentral:rRNA from 1 species